UGUUGUUUCUUCCCACGAAGUGCCUUGGAAACAUUGUUGGUUCAUAUUUUGCUACGUCUGAACACUGUCACAGUCCACAGAAGAGGGCGUGAUGCACUUUGUAAAACACUACAUGGUAUAUCAACUGACUCACGUAAAGUAGGGAGCUGGGAACCAUGCCAUACACUUUUCCUCAUUCUCCACCAACCACCAACCUGAAUGAAGAUAAACAUGAUCAGUCAGGCUGUUUGAUUCGCAAGGUUGUGGUUUGUUGUGAUGAUUUCCCUUUAUUAGUCUAGAAAGGAUGCAAUCCUUUAAUGAGCAUUUCCACUCAUAGGCAGGGAAUACAGUAGGCAUCUAUGAAGGUACAGUAGGAUUGUUUAGCCUCAGUGGAGGUCUGAAAUCUAAUGGUGUUCUUCGAGUUACCCCCACCAAAGAUUGAUGUUUUUUU